UACAUGGGGUGCAAACGUUGCUCGGAAUUAUUGGGCGUAAAGCGCACGUAGGCGGUUCGUUAAGUCGGAUGUGAAAGCCCUCGGCUCAACUGAGGAAGUGCACCCGAAACUGGCGAGCUUGAGUACGAAAGAGGAUCGCGGAAUUCCCGGUGUAGAGGUGAAAUUCGUAGAUAUCGAGAAGAACACCGGUGGCGAAGGCGGCCAUCUGGACGGUGACUGACGCUGAGACGCGAAAAGCGUGGGGGAGCAAACAGG
rnacentral:rRNA from 1 species